CGUAGGAAGUCGAGCGUUAUCCGGAUUUACUGGGCGUAAAGGGCAGGCAGGCGGUCGGUUAAGUCCUAUUUGAAAGCUCCCGGCUCAACUGGGAGAGGUGGUGGGAAACUAGCCGGCUAGAGGAUGGUAGAGGAGAGUGGAAUUCCCGGUGUAGUGGUGAAAUGCGUAGAUAUCGGGAGGAACACCAGUGGCGAAAGCGGCUCUCUGGGCCAUUACUGACGCUCAACUGCGAAAGCCAGGGGAGAGAACGGGAUUAGAAACCCCGGUAUUCCUGGCCGUAAACGAUGUUAACUAGGCGUAGGCGGUGUCAAAGCCGUCUGUGCUGCAGCCAACGCGAUAAGUUAACCGCCUGGGGACUACGGCCGCAAGGCUA
rnacentral:rRNA from 1 species